UACGAAGGGGACUAGCGUUGUUCGGAAUCACUGGGCGUAAAGCGCACGUAGGCGGACAUGUCAGUCAGGGGUGAAAUCCCGGGGCUCAACCUCGGAACUGCCUUUGAUACAGCAUAUCUUGAGUCCGAUAGAGGUGGGUGGAAUUCCUAGUGUAGAGGUGAAAUUCGUAGAUAUUAGGAAGAACACCGGUGGCGAAGGCGGCCCACUGGAUCGGUACCGACGCUGAGGUGCGAAAGCGUGGGGAGCAAACAGG
rnacentral:rRNA from 1 species